GCAGUGAAUUACGGAUAUCCGUAAAUUUCUGCAUUUUUGUUGUUUUUAUGAGUAUAAAAAAGCAUGGAAAUUAUUUUAGUUUAAUUGCUAAGUUUUGUUACAAUCCAAUGGGUCCACCGAUUUUUAUUCAAGGCAUUCACUCGAACCUUGAUCAGUUAUGGGUUCAAUUAAGUGAAAUUUGGGAGCUUCCGAAAGUAACGUGAUGAAAUAUAUAAUCAACAUGUGGUUAUGAAAAUUUCAACUUCGACAUCUUCGUCACUUCGUUUCCUGUUCUAACAUGGUUUCUUAGAAACUGAUUUAAACAAUAUCUUGAAGGUGAUUUAGGCAUGAAACCAUUCAUGGAAUAAUUUUGCUUAUCACCACUUCAUGGGUCUUUUUACACGGUUACUGAUUCGAUUGUUGAAUCUUCUUACUUAAGGUUCAAAACUGGUUCCCAUGUAUCUUUGAUAUCUGUUGGAUGUUUCAUUAAAAUUUUGGUAGGCAGUUAAAAAAACGUUCUUUCCAGGUUUGCAUUCCUUUGCCAGGAUCUUAGAAGAAAAAGUAUUAAUUUUUAUGGUUAACCCUGCCGGUUGAAUUAACGAAAAAAUAAUUCUUGAGUUUCAUCGUUGAAGCUGAUGUUACACUGAUAUGGAUAAACAAUUCUAAUUGGUGAAAUGCUCAUUUAAUCCAAUCAAUAAAACUCUGGUCACUCCAAUGAACCGAUAGUUUAUACAGAAAAGCAGAUCAUUUAUUUUGGACAUUCUACUCUUAGGCAACCAGUAAUCAAAGUGGAAGACCCAAAUCUAAUCUAAACUCUUUUAAAAAUCAAAACAAUAGCAUUCAUUGUUGAUUUAUCGAUAAAUAAAAUUUUUCACUUUCAA